AGUGAACGCUGGCGGUAGGCCUAACACAUGCAAGUCGAACGGCAGCACAGUAAGAGCUUGCUCUUACGGGUGGCGAGUGGCGGACGGGUGAGGAAUACAUCGGAAUCUACUUUUUCGUGGGGGAUAACGUAGGGAAACUUACGCUAAUACCGCAUACGACCUACGGGUGAAAGCAGGGGAUCUUCGGACCUUGCGCGAUUGAAUGAGCCGAUGUCGGAUUAGCUAGUUGGCGGGGUAAAGGCCCACCAAGGCGACGAUCCGUAGCUGGUCUGAGAGGAUGAUCCGCCAGACUGGAACUGAGACACGGUCCAGACUCCUACGGGAGGCAGCAGUGGGGAAUAUUGGACAAUGGGCGCAAGCCUGAUCCAGCCAUACCGCGUGGGUGAAGAAGGCCUUCGGGUUGUAAAGCCCUUUUGUUGGGAAAGAAAAGCAGCAGGUUAAUACCCCGCUGUUCUGACGGUACCCAAAGAAUAAGCACCGGCUAACUUCGUG
rnacentral:rRNA from 1 species